rnacentral:rRNA from 1 species
UACAGAGGGUGCAAGCGUUGUUCGGAAUUAUUGGACGUAAAGCGCGUGUAGGCGGCAUGGCAAGUCGGGUGUGAAAGCCCUCAGCUCAACUGAGGAAGUGCGCCCGAAACUGCUUUGCUUGAGUGCUGGAGAGGGUCGCGGAAUUCCCCAAGUAGAGGUGAAAUUCGUAGAUAUGGGGAGGAACACCGGUGGCGAAGGCGGCGACCUGGACAGUAACCGACGCUGAGGUGCGAAAGCGUGGGGAGCAAACAGG